rnacentral:rRNA from 1 species
CGGACGGGUGAGUAAUGUCUGGGAAACUGCCCGAUGGAGGGGGAUAACUACUGGAAACGGUAGCUAAUACCGCAUAACGUCGCAAGACCCAAGAGGGGGACCUUCGGGCCUCUUGCCAUCGGAUGUGCCCAGAUGGGAUUAGCUAGUAGGUGGGGUAAUGGCUCACCUAGGCGACGAUCCCUAGCUGGUCUGAGAGGAUGACCAGCCACACUGGAACUGAGACACGGUCCAG